rnacentral:rRNA from 1 species
GACGUAGGGGGCCAGCGUUGUCCGGACUUACUGGGCGUAAAGCGCGCGCAGGUGGUGACGGAUGUGCCGCGUGAAAGCGCCGGGCUUAGCUCGGCGAGGUCGCGGUAAACACCGACACUGGAGCCUCGGAGAGGUCGGUAGAAUUCCGGGUGGAGCGGUGAAAUGCGUAGAGAUCCGGGAGGAAUACCAGGGGCGAAAGCGGCCGACUGGCCGAGUGCUGACGCUGAGGCGCGAGCG